UAAUACAGGGGGUGCAAACGUUGCUCGGAAUUAUUGGGCGUAAAGCGCGCGUAGGCGGCUACUUAUGUCGGAUGUGAAAGCCCUUGGCUCAACUGAGGAAGUGCACCCGAAACUGAGUGGCUGGAGUACGAAAGAGGGUCGCGGAAUUCCCGGUGUAGAGGUGAAAUUCGUAGAUAUCGGGAGGAACACCGGUGGCGAAGGCGGCGACCUGGGUCGAUACUGACGCUGAGGCGCGAAAGCGUGGGGAGCAAACAGGAUUAGAUACCCUGGUAGUCCACGCCGUAAACGAUGAGUGCUAGAUGUUUCUGGUAUUGACCCCGGAGGCGUCGUAGCUAACGCGUUAAGCACUCCGCCUGGGGAGUACGGCCGCAAGGCUA
rnacentral:rRNA from 1 species